GACUUUUUGCAAUUUUUUCUAAAUGGACUUUUGGCUUUCAAAAAGGUUAGCCAAACACCCACCCUCGCCAUCAAACACCCACCGUCGCCAUCUGUAUCACAACACAACCGUCACACCACUAUUACACUGCUAUCACACCGCUAUCACUUGACACUCAACCAUAUGCGUUCUCCUCUUUCCCCCCUCAAUCGGAGACCACCAAAAUCUAUUACCCAUACCCCACUCCAUCUUUGUCACCUGGGCACCCUCCCUGACCAUCAGUGCAAUGAGAAACCCUAGCCACCACAAUUUUCAAACUCAUUAAUCGGAGACCACCACAAACUCAUUCAUCUCUCUCGCUAUAAUCUCCGUAAAUAAGCGUAGCUUAGAGCUCUCAGAGCCCCCUGUUCCUUGACUAUGAAUUUUUUGAGUCAGUGAUAGUGCCCCUCCACCCCUCUCUAUAAAAAAAGCCCAAAGAGCCACAACCACAAUCAAUCCCAACCAUCUCUAGGUUUUAUGAAGAUCCCCAAUAGCCAUUAUCUUCAACACCACCAAAUCCUUCAUCAGCCGCCAUUUUCAACACACAUACCUGUAGUUCCCCUCAUCAUCACCACCACACCAUUUCUCAGGUUUACACCACCAUUAUCUCUGUUUCCCCUCUUUUUAUUCUUCGCCAAUUUAUAAAAUUAAUCAUACAGGUGCGUAUUUAUUUGAUUAUGGCUUAAAGUUUUACUUUUUUUAGGAUACAUUGGCAUACAUGUUUAUAAAAAUCAUUACUUUUACUUUCAAAAUGUUAAAAUUACUGAAUAUGGGAAGUCAAUAUGAAGCUUAACAAGAUAUAGAUAAGAAAGAUAAGGAUUUGGAACAUAUAAAGGUAUUUGUAUAUGUUUCUGAUAUCAUGAUGUUAAAAAAUUGGAUUUUAUUCAAACUAUUAUGGAUGUUUGGUUGACCUUUUUAUUAAAAUAUAGCUUAUGCUUUUAAUAGAUGAUUAUUUUCUAUUUAUCAUUAGUUAUAUCACACAAUCUUUCUUAUGUAUGAUUGAUGAAGAUCUGUUGCUCCUCUUCAAGGUAACAAUCUUGACCUAAUUCUCUUUGAAUUCGGUUUAAAUGAACUGUCUGUGUACUUUGAUUGUACAACAUUAUUAACAUAGAUCUGCCAACAAUAUCUGCAAUUUGUUCUAAUUUUCAGGUGCGUCUAUUUAGUUCAUUCCAGGUGUUCAUCUCCAAUGUAUAUGUAUGGUUUUUGUUCAGCUAACAACAAAACAUUGGCCUUUAUGUAGAUUUUCAAAUAUGCCGUUAAACUUGGUGCACGUCGCUCGUAGUUCACGCCAUUUUCCGUUGACCGCGUCGUACGUUCGACCCGUUUGCCUUCCCAAAAGCGAGUGAAAAUGAUCUAAAACACGAACCCAAAAACUUGUUCCCGUUUGCGCGUUGCCCGUCCUUGAGUCACACGAUAUAGAAAUCCAAGCUUUAGCUAAAGCUUCCUCCUCCUCUUCGAUCCAAGUUGUUCCUCUUCUAUUUGUAGCUUUUCCUUUUGAUUUCCUAUGCCUAGAUGGUUGUGUCUCUUCGACCCGGUCGUCCUCGUCGUUGUCCAAGUUUAUAGUUGGGGAUUAAGAACAAGGGACUUGAGAUGGUGGUGUUUGGAAUUGUUGAGAUGGUUGUGUUUGGAAUUAUUGAGAUGGUGGUGUUUGGAGUUGUUGAGAUGGUUGUGUUUGGAAUUGUUGGGGUCGAAAUUGUUGAAAACCUUGGAAUUGAGAUUGUGGUAAUUGUUGUUGGAAGUAGUUUGGUUGAAAUGGAAUGUUGGUAAAUAGAGGUUGAUGUUGGAUUGGGGAUGUUAGCAUUUGAAUGUAAUCUUGAUAUUGAUCAUUUGGAGUGGUUGGGGUUGUUGGGGUGUUUGGAGUGGUAGAUGUAUUUUGAUUUUGCUCCAUAUUUUUGAGAGAAAAUGAGAUAGUGGAGAGAUAUUAUUUGUAGAGAAAGAUGUGUUUAGUUUGUUUAUGUGUUUGUGUAUAUAUAGUAGAUGAAAUAAAUUGAAAAGUUUUUUUUUUUGUUAAUAAAAAGCAACGGUCAAAAAAUGAAAGGAAAAAACGGUAAAAAAAAAUCACCCAAUCAAAGCAUGAACGACCGUAAGAGAAUCCAAUCCGCGUCACAUUCACCGGUGGGGGCGGUGUUCACGCGUGAAUACCCCCUACACGUCAUCAUUACGCGUGAAAAACCAAUCCACACCCCAUGGCCUAACCAUCCCCUUCUCUCAACCAUGUCUCCUUCUCUCUAACUCCAAUUAGCCAUCAGACCACUCACCACCAGUUCGACCACUCUCCACCAGUUCCAUGACCUCACUCCGCAUAUACCUCACACUACUCAAGACCCACCAUUAAACCCAACUGAAACCUAAUAUUCGUCUCUCUCUGGCAUUCACGACAACAAUUCGGCUUUUUUUUUUUUAUUUGCAUCUGGACACAUUUUACGUACCGGUGUUGUGCAGGAACACUAAUAAAAACCACCAUUAAUAUCUCCUCUAUCGGCAACCCAUCCACCCUGGAGUUCGAUACCACCAAAUGCCACAAGUUUAUCUUUGUUCUUUAUCUCUAGGGUUUUAAAAGAGGUGUUCAGAUCUGGAUGAAGAUGAACAAAAAGAUGAACCAUUUAGAGCCUAAAGGGUUCUCUGGUUCAGUUGUUCAUAAAACGUAUCUAAUAUAUGAUGUUUCAAUUACAUAAUCGUGUUGAGAGGUGAGAUGGGGCUUUUCAGUGGGAGUGACGAUAAGGAUUCUUGGUUGAGGCUGGAGGAGAAAUACAGAGAGGCGAAGAUCGUUUGUAAUACAACUUCCAAUGUGGUGAUCAGGUGUAUUUGACUGAUUAUAGGUUGACCCUUGUGACUGAAGGUGUGCACCUUCACUGCAUUUAAACAUCGUUUCAUCAUAUGGGUCGACACAAGGUUUUUGAGCAUCUGAGUUCAAAUGGAUUGGACUCAAGUUGAUGAGGUUGCCCAAGUUUCAAAAAAUCUGGUGCUUAUUUGCUAAAGUUUGAUCAACCUCUUCUUAAAUUACAUUGCUACACAUGGUUUGGACUCUAAAGUACAAUGUUAUUUCUGUCUAUAUGUUUUGAUCAUGUGGUUUUUUGUUUAUUUUUGUUUCUUUAUGUAAGACUUUGGCUUCGUCAAACACUUUUUUGCAUUUUUUUAAUUAUUGUUCCCAGCUUAUGAUUGCA